rnacentral:rRNA from 1 species
AACACGUGGGUGACCUGCCUUCGAGUGGGGGAUAACGUCCCGAAAGGGACAUUAAUACCUCCUGACAUCCUGCCUUUGGAAAGGCCGAGACCAAAACCGGGGAUCGCAAUACCUGGCGCUUGAAGAGGGGCCCUCGCCUGAUUAGCUAUUUGGUAGGGUAACCGCCUACCUGGGCCACGAUCAAUAUCCGGCCUGAGAGGGCGGACAGACACUCUGGGACUGACACACUGCCCACACUCCUACGGGAGGCAUCAUUGGGGAAUUGUUCGCAAUGGGCGCAAGGCCUGACGACGCAACGCCUCGUGCAGGACGAAGAUCUUCAGGUCGUAUACUCCUGUCGAGCGGGAAGAAUGCUUCGCGGGUGAAUACUCCGCAAAAUUGACGGUACCGCUCAAGGAAGCCCCGGCUAACUCCUUGCCACCAGCCGCGGUAAUACGGGGGGGGCAAGCUUUGUUCGGAAUUACUGGGCGUAGAGGGCUCCUACGCGGCCUACUAAGUCAUACAUGAAAUCCCCAGGCUUAACCUGGGAACUGCCUCUGAUACUGGAUGGCUUGAAUUCGAGAGAGGGAUG